GAUGAACGCUGGCGGCGUGCUUAACACAUGCAAGUCGAACGAAGCACUUUAUUUGAUUUCCUUCGGGACUGAUUAUUUUGUGACUGAGUGGCGGACGGGUGAGUAACGCGUGGGUAACCUGCCUUGUACAGGGGGAUAACAGUUGGAAACGGCUGCUAAUACCGCAUAAGCGCACAGCAUCGCAUGAUGCAGUGUGAAAAACUCCGGUGGUAUAAGAUGGACCCGCGUUGGAUUAGCUAGUUGGUGAGGUGACGGCCCACCAAGGCGACGAUCCAUAGCCGACCUGAGAGUGUGACCGGCCACAUUGGGACUGAGCCACGGCCCAAACUCCUACGGGAGGCAGCAGUGGGGAAUAUUGCACAAUGGGCGAAAGCCUGAUGCAGCGACGCCGCGUGAGCGAAGAAGUAUUUCGGUAUGUAAAGCUCUAUCAGCAGGGAAGAUAAUGACGGUACCUGACUAAGAAGCACCGGCUAAAUACGUG
rnacentral:rRNA from 1 species